UACGAAGGUCCCAAGCGUUAUCCGGAUUUAUUGGGUUUAAAGGGUGCGUAGGAGGGCAGGGAAGUCCGUGGUGAAAUCUCCGAGCUUAACUCGGAAACUGCCGUGGAUACUCUCUGUCUUGAAUCCCGUGGAGAUGAGCGGAAUAUGUCAUGUAGCGGUGAAAUGCUUAGAUAUGACAUAGAACACCAAUUGCGAAGGCAGCUCGUUACACGAAGAUUGACUCUGAGGCACGAAAGCGUGGGGAUCAAACAGG
rnacentral:rRNA from 1 species